rnacentral:lncRNA from 1 species
CGCCCAAGAUCAGCAUCACCGCCGACUACCCUGACUGGCCUUCCCUCCUUUCACCGAUCAGCACUACGACCCAAGCUUCCUAACCCAAAAUCCCUAUAUCUGUCCCCAAAACAACCACCGAUCUGCUCUCCCUUCACUGUCGGCGGCUAACCCGAAGCAAACCUCCCUCCUUUCGCCGAUCAUCACUAAGACCCAAGCUUCCUAACCCAAAAUCCCUAUAUCUUUCCCCAAAACAACCACUGAUCUGCUUUCCCUUCACCGCCACCUUCCUUGCGCUGACGCCAUUUCCUAAUCGAACUCUUCUCUCUCAUCCAACGAAGGCACAAAAUCUGGGCUUCAAAUCCCCCCACCGACAGCACAAAACCCCCAAUAUAUAUCCCCUCCAAAUGUCCCUAAAACAAGCUAAAGAAAAUCCCCCAAAAACAAC